rnacentral:tRNA from 1 species
GGCUCUGCAGCUAAGUGGCAAGGCGUCUGUGUUGUAAACAGAAGGUCGCGGGUUCAAUCCUUGCCGCAGCCU